GAUGAACGCUGGCGGCGUGCCUAACACAUGCAAGUCGAGCGGACGGACAAGUAGCUUGCUACUUGAAAGUUAGCGGCGGACGGGUGAGUAACGCGUGAGUAACCUGCCUUGAACAGGGGGACAACACAGAGAAAUUUGUGCUAAUACCGCAUAAAUUCAUUAGGGGGCAUCCCCAAGAUGAACAAAGGAGAAAUCCGGUUUAAGAUGGACUCGCGUCCAAUUAGCUAGUUGGUAGGGUAAUGGCCUACCAAGGCGACGAUUGGUAGCCGAACUGAGAGGUUGAUCGGCCACAUUGGGACUGAGACACGGCCCAGACUCCUACGGGAGGCAGCAGUGGGGAAUAUUGCGCAAUGGGGGAAACCCUGACGCAGCAACGCCGCGUGAAGGAAGAAGGCUCUCGGGUUGUAAACUUCUUUGAUCAGGGAAGA
rnacentral:rRNA from 1 species